GAUGAACGCUGGCGGCGUGCCUAACACAUGCAAGUCGAACGGAGAUUACAGACGGAAGUUUUCGGAUGGAAGACUGUAAUUCUUAGUGGCGGACGGGUGAGUAACGCGUGGGCAACCUGCCCUAUACAGGGGGAUGGCAGCUGGAAACGGCUGGUAAGACCGCAUAAGUCGGUUAAAUCGCAUGAUUUGACCGGGAAAUGAGCAAUCAGGUAUAGGAUGGGCCCGCGUCCGAUUAGCCAGUUGGCAGGGUAAAAGCCUACCAAAGCGACGAUCGGUAGCCGGACUGAGAGGUCGGACGGCCACAUUGGGACUGAGACACGGCCCAAACUCCUACGGGAGGCAGCAGUGGGGGAUAUUGCACAAUGGAGGAAACUCUGAUGCAGCGACGCCGCGUGAGUGAAGAAGUAUUUCGGUAUGUAAAGCUCUAUCAGCAGGGAAGAUGAUGACGUACCUGACUAAGAGCCCCGUAUUU
rnacentral:rRNA from 1 species